GGGAGUGUGGCUUAGCAGUAGAGCAUGUGCUUAGUGUGUGAAAGGCCCUGGGUUCAAUCCCCAGCACCCA
rnacentral:tRNA from 1 species